UACGUAGGGUGCGAGUGUUAAUCGGAAUUACUGGGCGUAAAGCGUGCGCAGGCGGUUUUGUAAGCCAGAUGUGAAAUCCCCGGGCUUAACCUGGGAAUGGCAUUUGGGACUGCAAGGCUGGAGUGCGGCAGAGGAGACUGGAAUUCCUGGUGUAGCAGUGAAAUGCGUAGAUAUCAGGAGGAACACCGAUGGCGAAGGCAGGUCUCUGGGCUGACACUGACGCUCAUGCACGAAAGCGUGGGGAGCAAACAGG
rnacentral:rRNA from 1 species